UAUUUUAUGUAAUUAUCGAAAUUUUUGUAAUAUUAUGAAAUACAACCGUAAUAUUCUAAAUCGUGUGGUAUAUCCGUAUGCCAUGCGCGCUAUAUUACGCGAUCAUAGGUGGAAGUGGGGAGCGCUGUUGUCGCAUUUCCCGCUUUUUGGCAAUCACGUCGCGACAUGUUACUGUUCUUAUUAACUGAUCAACAGUGAUGCGUAUAUCAAGUACGUCUUACGAGUGUAUAUUACGAGUGCGUAUUAGAGUGUCUCUCCGCACAAGAAAAGGAAAAGAUCCAUUUUUGUCUACUUGCCUUCUACGUUUCAACUUUCUACAAGAAAGGUGCGCAUGUGAACGUGAUACGUUGCAAUAUCAUUUCUACAAGACUGAAG